AAGCUGUGCUCAAGUGGAAAGAUCGUAGGGCUAGGACUCUUUAUUCUUUAUGUAAGGAGUCUCCUUGGUCUAUCUCACUCUUUGUCUCGGUUUC
ensembl:miRNA